rnacentral:ncRNA from 1 species
GAUAUGAAAUGAAAAAACACGAUCCGGUUGGUAGUCCGGAUGUAUCGUUAGUGAUAUCAGUAGCCUUCCCUCCUCGGGAAGGGCAUUAUUUUUACUAUCUGU